rnacentral:lncRNA from 1 species
CAACUAGAGGAGCGAAAACUUACAACAGCAUCUCCGGCACCCUCCUGACCAUGACCACUAUGUUGACAAGAAAGGUACUACUGCCUAUUCCAUACCCCCUUCACAAGGUACUUCUGCUCCCUGUUUUUUUUUGACUACUGCUUCCUUUUUUAUUCUAAUCCAUGAACACAUAAGUUCACGAAGAAGUUUCUGUUUGCUCCUUGUUUGAUUCAAGUCUGAAAGAUUCAUAUUCUGAGACUGAAAGAUCAUAUUCUCACUUGCUGGACAUAGGCAUUUUGGAUGAUAAUGUAUUGUAAAACCUAUACAAGAACAGGAGAUUUGUUACCAAAUAACAUCUUUCGCCUAAAACUAUUUAUAUAAUCUAGACUUGGUUAGUUGUAACUUUUGCUUUCUGUUCUUUCCAAAAACUUAUCCAGGUUCAGCUGAUAAGACAAUUAUUUUUUGGGACCUUGGGACUUUUGACUUGAUUGGAUCCUCUGGACAGGAGGUAUAAUUGUAUCUCCUAAUUGUCUAAUUGGUGUUCAGAAAGCUCAGGCUCUACUCAUUUAUUUCUCCCAGUUCAUGUUGUCUUUGUAUUCAGAUUGUGAAAUAAUGUAGUUCUAUAAACGCUAUCAGUAUGCAGCCAUCCAUCAAAAUUAUGUCCUAAACUGCAUUUGAUCAUAUGCUUGGCUUUAGCUUGAUUUAAUUUCAAACAAACUUCAACCAGCGAAGAGCAUGUAUGAAUUCUACUAGCUCUGCAACGGUUUGGAACUCAGUAGGAACUUGCGGUUGACAGUUCCCAGAGAGGCCCUUAGUCACUUAAAUUAGCCUUGUGUUUGUUUCAUCACUACAAGGCAGAAGUAAGUUAAAAAAAAUCCUGUCUUUCCUGUAGAUGCGAGCUUCGUUUCUAAUUGGGCAUGAUGUCGGGCUCACUGUAUCAAUUGGAGCAUGCAUAGUAGUCUCUGAACAUUCUGGUUUAGAAUUCUAUUUUUGUUCGGCAACCUUCAAAACAGAGAGGUCACAAUUCCGUUCCGAUCACUUUAUGGACCUAUUUCCACCUUUUGCUCUCCGGCCCUGCUUACACUUUUCUGCAAUACCUAAAUCUAGCUUUGAGAUUCAACAACAGUUGUUUAGUGGAUGCAAGGUUUUUGUGGGUAAUAUUUUCUGAUGGCGCAAAAUGUAUGACAUUACUGCUAUGCAUCAAAAUCAUUCAGAAGGGUUUAAGGUUUCAGAAAAAGGACAAUAUUCUCUUCACAAUGAACUUGGUCAAAGCACAUAAUGCAAUUUAUCUAUGUAGUGGAAUUUGUUAUCGGCUAGAGGGAGUUAUGGGUUUAGAGCUUAAAAUAAUUGCUUAUUGUCUAUUAUUGCUACAGAUUGAAAUGUUUUCUUCUAGAUACUCAAGCAUGGGAGGCAGCAUGGAUUUAUUUAUGAAAGGUGGCAGACACAACCAUGAGGUGUUCACGCACAUUUACCUGCAUUCUUAUCUUGACCAUGGGAGCCAAUUCUGAUACAUGCCGACAGUACAGAAAUGUACGAUCAUGAGAGAGAGGACUAAGGCUAUAGAAUUUGUGACUAUGUAUAAGGGCUCUUCAUCAAGUGUGUGCACUGUACUUUAUGAAUUUUUAUUUGUGAAUUUUUUCAUGAUAUGUUGCACACUGUCGCAGAAUGUAACAUGAAAAAGAAUUAAUGUUUUGGAUGGAUUCUCUGAGAUGCCUGAC